CAACCCUCGUCCCCCCUGUGCCUCACGGCGCUUGGGGGGCGGUGUUGGGGAUGGGCCUGCCCUAGGGCCGGCCCGCCCCUAAAUGUAGUGGCGACCACGCCGUAGCCUCCUCUGCGUAGUAGUAACUCACCUCGCGGGCGGAGAGCGGUGCGGUCCGCCGUAAAACCCCCUACUUUCUCAA
rnacentral:misc_RNA from 1 species